AGGGUAGCCUAGUGGUUAGAGUGUAGAGGCGGCAGGGUAGCCUAGUGGUUAGAGUGUAGAGGCGGCAGAGUAGCCUAGUGGUUAGAGUGUAGAGGCGGCAGGGUAGUCUAGUGGUUAGAGUGUAGAGGCGACAGGGUAGUCUAGUGGUUAGAGUGUAGAGGCGGCAGGGUAGCCUAGUGGUUAGAGUGUAGAGGCGGCAGGGUAGCCUAGUGGUUAGAGUGUAGAGGCGGCAGAGUAGCCUAGUGGUUAGAGUGUAGAGGCGGCAGGGUAGCCUAGUGGUUAGAGUGUAGAGGCGGCAGGGUAGCCUAGUGGUUAGAGUGUAGGGGCGGCAGGGUAGCCUAGUGGUUAGAGUGUAGAGGUGGCAGGGUAGCCUAGUGGUUAGAGUGUAGAGGCGGCAGGGUAGCCUAGUGGUUAGAGGGUAGAGGCGGCAGGGUAGCCUAGUGGUUAGAGUGUAGAGGUGGCAGCGUAGCCUAGUGGUUAGAGUGUAGAGGCGGCAGGGUAGCCUAGUGGUUAGAGUGUAGAGGCGGCAGGGUAGCCUAGUGGUUAGAGUGUAGAGGCGGCAGGGUAGCCUAGUGGUUAGAGUGUAGAGGCGGCAGGGGAGCCUAGUGGUUAGAGUGUAGAGGCGACAGGGUAGACUAGUGGUUAGAGUGUAGGGGCGGCAGGGUAGCCUAGUGGUUAGAGUGUAGGGGCGGCAGGGUAGCCUAGUGGUUAGAGUGUAGAGGCGACAGGGUAGCCUAGUGGUUAGAGUGUAGAGGCGGCAGGGUAGCCUAGUGGUUAGAGUGUAGAGGCGGCAGGGGAGCCUAGUGGUUAGAGUGUAGAGG